ensembl:lncRNA novel transcript
AAGCAGAUCCAGAACGCCAUGGCUACCAAACAUGACCUGCCGCAAAGCCUGUCUAAGAACAUUUUUGGCAGCUGGAAAUGUUCCUGCCUACCAGUCUGUCACAGACGGCAUGUGCCAUGGGCUACCAGCACUGAGCAACUCUCUCAGGAAGAGCAUUUUUGCCUCACAGCUCAGCCUGCCCCAGCCACUGGAUCCACGGAGCCUCCAGGCAUUUGAGCUGUUUCCUUGGAGAGCAUUUCUGGAAGAUGGAGGACCAUUCCCAGUUAUGAGUAACAGCCCAGAUACCCUAGAAUAUAAUAUGCAGGUAGGAUAGGUCUUCUCCAUUGUUGCAGAGAGAACUGAGCGCAGACUGCAAAGAUGGUUGCCAUUGGGUUCACAGGUCAGAUCCUCCUACUCUCACCCACGAUGAAUAAUGUGUGAGAUAAGCAGGGUGUUUGAUUUUGAGGCUGUAAACCCAGGGUCACGAGCUGUGCCUCUGUGGGCUGAGUGACCGUGACCGCAAGGUGGCUCAUGGAGAACUGGUGGGUGUGCAACUGCUACUGGAAGAUGUUCUGAGUAGCUAUCAUGUGACCAUGGAGGCCCCCCAAAGACAGCAAGCCACACUGGGCAAAAAUACACAGCCAGAUUGGUCCAAAGUGCCAGGAUUCAGAAGUCAGUUCCGAAGCAGCCCAAAGACCUCUGAGCUGCUGGAGGGCCUGUGCGAUGCGGUGAUGUCCUUUGCUUUGCUGAGAUCAUUUCUGAUACUGUGGAAGCAGCUGGAAGUGCUAAAGGAGCACUGGGGCCGACUCAAGCUGCAAGGCCAGGAUAUCAACUCUGUCUCUCUCCACAAACGGUUUUCAGAGCUCUAUGAAACUGACGUUCUCUACCCCAGCAUGAAAGCUAUAGCCAGGCAGAUGGGGAAAGAAGAUGAAUUUGAAGGAUUUAUAGUAAAUAAUCAGUCUGUUCUUCCCCCCAGUGGAGCCUCAGAAGUUGAAAUAAAAACUCACCAAGUAUGCAGGAUAUAUUUUAAAUUUGCCUUUGAAAAUGUCCUUUAUGGCAUUAGCAUGUAAAACUACAGGCAUACCCAAAUGGUAUUUUUUCCAAGAAGCUGAGUGUAAAUUGCAGGGUUGUAAAUCAUUGAAUGGGCUGGAGGGAGGGCAGGACUAAGUAUUUAAAGCCAUGUGGUGCUUCGAUGAAGCAAAUUACUACCCUUAAUGUCCCUGUUCUAUAAGUCUGGAUUUUUAUCAUUUUGAUUUUCCUCAAAUUGAUGUGUACCUUCAUAAGAAUGAUCAUAGAAAACAUAACCACUAUCUUAAGCAUAAAAUUUAGCAUGCAAGUAUUCACAUGGAAAUGAAAUAUUUGUAAAAGCUCCCUGUAAUUGUUUUUCUGAGAAUAAGAAAAUGCCCAUUUGGUAUGUGUAAGAUGA